rnacentral:rRNA from 1 species
UAGUUGGUGGGGUAAAGGCCUACCAAGGCGACGAUCAGUAGCUGGUAUGAGAGGACGACCCACCACACUGGGGAUGAGACACGGCCCAUUCUCCUAGGGGAGGCAGCAGUGGGGAAUUUUGGACAAUGGGAGAAAGCCUGAUCCAACAAUGCCGCGUGUGUGAAGAAGGCCUUCGGGUUGUAAAGCACUUUUGUCCGGAAAGAAAUCCUUGGCUCUAAUACAGUCGGGGGAUGACGGUACCGGAAGAAUAAGCACCGGAUAAUUACGUGCCAGCACCCGCGGUAAUAUGUAGGGUGCGAGCGUUAAUCGGAAUUUCUGGGCGUAAAGCGUGCGCAGGCGGUUUGCUAAGUCCGAUGUGAAAUCCCCGGGCUCAACCUGGGAACUGCAUUGGUGACUGGCAGGUUAGAGUAUGGCAGAGGGGGGUAGAAUUCCCCGUGUAGCAGUGAAAUGCGUAGAGAUGUGGAGGAAUACCGAUGGCGAAGGCAGCCCCCUGGGCCAAUACUGACGCUCAUGCACGAAAGCGUGGGGAGCAAACAGGAUUAGAUACCCUGGUAGUCCACGCCCUAAACGAUGUCAACUAGUUGUUGGGGAUUCAUUUCCUUAGUAACGUAGCUAACGCGUGAAGUUGACCGCCUGGGGAGUACGGUCGCAAGAUUAAAACUCAAAGGAAUUGACGGGGACCCGCACAAGCGGUGGAUGAUGUGGAUUAAUUCGAUGCAACGCGAAAAACCUUACCUACCCUUGACAUGGUCGGAAUCCCGCUGAGAGGUGGGAGUGCUCGAAAGAGAACCGGCGCACAGGUGCUGCAUGGCUGUCGUCAGCUCGUGUCGUGAGAUGUUGGGUUAAGUCCCGCAACGAGCGCAACCCUUGUCCUUAGUUGCUACGCAAGAGCACUCUAAGGAGACUGCCGGUGACAAACCGGAGGAAGGUGGGGAUGACGUCAAGUCCUCAUGGCCCUUAUGGGUAGGGUUUCACACGUCUUACAAUGGUCGGAACAGAGGGUUGCCAACCCGCGAGGGGGAGCUAAUCCCAGAAAACCGAUCGUAGUCCGGAUUGCACUCUGCAACUCGAGUGCAUGAAGCUGGAAUCGCUAGUAAUCGCGGAUCAUCAUGCCGCGGUGAAUACGUUCCCGGUUCUUGUACACACCGCCCGUCACACCAUGGGAGUGGGUUUUACCAGAAGUGGCUAGUCUAACCGCAAGGAGGACGGUCACCACGGUAGGAUUCAUGACUGGGGUGAAGUCGUAACAAG